rnacentral:rRNA from 1 species
GAUGAACGCUGGCGGCGUGCCUAAUACAUGCAAGUCGAGCGAACAGACGAGGAGCUUGCUCCUCUGACGUUAGCGGCGGACGGGUGAGUAACACGUGGAUAACCUACCUAUAAGACUGGGAUAACUUCGGGAAACCGGAGCUAAUACCGGAUAAUAUAUUGAACCGCAUGGUUCAAUAGUGAAAGACGGUUUUGCUGUCACUUAUAGAUGGAUCCGCGCCGCAUUAGCUGGUUGGUAAGGUAACGGCUUACCAAGGCGACGAUGCGUAGCCGACCUGAGAGGGGGGGCGGCCGCAGGGGAAGGGGGGCGCGGGCCCGGCUCCUGAGGGGGGGGGGAGGGGGGGAUGGUGGGCAAGGGGGGGAAGGCGGGGCGAGGCAACGCGGGGGGGGGGAGGAAGGGUUCGGGGUGGAAAAACUCUUUUUUGGGGGAAAAAAAAAUUUGUAAGUAACUAAGCCGGUCUGACGGUAACCAAAGAAGAAGCCCCGGGUAACUUCGGG